UAUACAAAGGUAUUGAAAUAAGAUUUUAAAUGAGUGCUAAGARRAUGAUUGAWCAAUUAUAGGCUUUCUUUAGUUAAAUAAUUAAAUUUAAUUUUUUUAGUGCAAAAGCAAAAAUUAAAUUUAGGGACAAGAAGACCCUAUGAAUUUUAAUUUAAUUUAUAAUUUGAAAUUUUAAAUUAAAUUUGAUUGGGGCGAUGGAAAAAGAAUGAGUAUCUUUUUUAGUUUUAAAAAUUGGUUCCGUUUUUAACGAUUAAAUGAGAAAAAUACUCUAGGGA
rnacentral:rRNA from 1 species